rnacentral:rRNA from 1 species
CAGUCGCCACGGGAAUACGGAGGGCGCGAGCGUUGCCCGGAUUUACUGGGCGUAAAGGGCGUGUAGGCGGCCUGGGGCGUCCCAUGUGAAAGGCCACGGCUCAACCGUGGAGGAGCGUGGGAUACGCUCAGGCUAGAGGGUGGGAGAGGGUGGUGGAAUUCCCGGAGUAGCGGUGAAAUGCGCAGAUACCGGGAGGAACGCCGAUGGCGAAGGCAGCCACCUGGUCCACUUCUGACGCUGAGGCGCGAAAGCGUGGGGAGCAAACCGGAUUAGAUACCCGCGUAGUCCCUGUCUCUUAUAC